rnacentral:rRNA from 1 species
AUUGAACGCUGGCGGCAGGCCUAACACAUGCAAGUCGAGCGGAUGAAGGGAGCUUGCGCCUGGAUUCAGCGGCGGACGGGUGAGUAAUGCCUAGGAAUCUGCCUGGUAGUGGGGGAUAACGUCCGGAAACGGGCGCUAAUACCGCAUACGUCCUGAGGGAGAAAGUGGGGGAUCUUCGGACCUCACGCUAUCAGAUGAGCCUAGGUCGGAUUAGCUAGUUGGUGGGGUAAAGGCCUACUAAGGCGACGAUCCGUAACUGGUCUGAGAGGAUGAUCAGUCACACUGGAACUGAGACACGGUCCAGGCUCCUACGGGAGGGCGCAGUGGGGAAUGUUGGACAAUGGGCGAAAGCCUGGUCCAGCCAUGCCGCGUGUGUGACGAAGGUCUUCGGAUUGUAAAGCACUUUAAGUUGGGGGGAAGGGCAGUAAGUUAAUACCUUGCUGUUUUGACGUUACCAACAGAAUAAGCACCGGCUAACUUCGUG